UGGGCGUAAGGGCUCGCAGGCGGUUUCUUAAGUCUGAUGUGAAAGCCCCCGGCUCAACCGGGGAGGGUCAUUGGAAACUGGGAAACUUGAGUGCACAAGAGGAGAGUGGAAUUCCACGUGUAGCGGUGAAAUGCGUAGAGAUGUGGAGGAACACCAGUGGCGAAGGCGACUCUCUGGUCUGUAACUGACGCUGAGGAGCGAAAGCGUGGGGAGCGAACAGGAUUAGAUACCCUGGUAGUCCACGCCGUAAACGAUGAGUGCUAAGUGUUAGGGGGUUUCCGCCC
rnacentral:rRNA from 1 species